AGGGGCGGGCUCUUCCGGUCGGCGCCGAGGCCGGCUGCUGGGCCGGGCGGGCCCCGGUCGCCCGGCGCGGGAAUACUGGCGCGCGGCGGGGCCCGGCGCGGGGGACGUCGUUCCCGGGCGCCUUGUGGCGGGCGCGUUCGCCCCGUCCUCCAGCCGGGGAUCCCGGGUUCUCUGGGCUCCCAGGUGCCGCGGGGAGGAGGGCGAGGACCAGCUCCGUGCGGAUCGAGCCCAGAUGAGCUGCCUUUACCUGCGAUUCAGGCUCCCACCUGAUGCUCAGAACAGCCUCCCAGAAGCUGCCUCCAGUAGAGCCUUUGGGGCCACAUAGGCCUGAAUCCCAAUCAAGUCACAGGGGUUGGUGGAGCCUCUCUCUGGUGCAGACGUUCCGUUCCAGAGCCUUCGGUACAAGCUCGGACAGAUGAGAAGCUGUGUGUAAAGAAGGAGCAUUCUGCAGAAGUGGAGAAUCCGGCCCGGCCUUCCCCAGUGGCCCUUCCCGGCUUCCCGUGGCCCCU
rnacentral:lncRNA from 1 species